AGUGAACGCUGGCGGUAGGCCUAACACAUGCAAGUCGAACGGCAGCACAGUAAGAGCUUGCUCUUACGGGUGGCGAGUGGCGGACGGGUGAGGAAUACAUCGGAAUCUACUUUUUCGUGGGGGAUAACGUAGGGAAACUUACGCUAAUACCGCAUACGACCUACGGGUGAAAGCAGGGGAUCUUCGGACCUUGCGCGAGUGAAUGAGCCGAUGUCGGAUUAGCUAGUUGGCGGGGUAAAGGCCCACCAAGGCGACGAUCCGUAGCUGGUGUGAGAGGAUGAUCAGCCACACUGGAACUGAGACACGGUCCAGACUCCUACGGGAGGCAGCAGUGGGGAAUGUUGGACAAGGGGAUGAAGCCUGAUCCAACCAUACCGCGUGGGUGAAGAAGGCCUUCGGGUUGUAAAGCCCUUUUGUUGGGAAAGAAAAGCAGCAGGUUAAUACCCCGCUGUUCUGACGGUACCCAAAGAAUAAGCACCGGCUAACUUCGUG
rnacentral:rRNA from 1 species